GGUUUUUACAAAGUGCUUACAGUAUACUAAGGCGUGCAAGUGUUAAAGUCAUAUCGAAUACGAGACAGUACAACGACUGAGAUCAAAAUUAUCAUACUCAAACACGAUUAGUACCUCGCGUAAGCGCAGCAGUAACCAAAUAAUACAGUGUCCUAGAACAGCUACCAGAGUACGGACGAGGACGACAUGGUGGACGCCGACGAUCCGGAACAGCCACAGGAAUCCCAGCUGAGAUACGGUAGGAAGCGACAGAAAGCUGACGAUGAUGUGUCUACGAAGCCCAAAACACGCAGAGGUUCAAUCAAAGUACAAUGUACCAACAAGAAUGCCCUGGCGGCGCGUCACAACCGCGAUCGCCAAAAGAAAUACGUCGAAAUGAUCGAAAACAAGCUCCAGACUUGCGAAACGGAAAACACGAAUUUCAGGACAAAGGUCGAAGAACAGAGUAGGCUGAUCGAGAUACUGAACGAUCAGGUCGCGUAUCUCAGGAGUGAGGUGAACAAAACACGGCCCACCCACCGGAUGAAGGAGAUAAACGAGAAUCUUACCAGGAUUAUGAUGCGGGAUAAGGAAUUACCGCCGACCUACGUGGAGGGAUUUCACGACCUCCAAGCUGUGAAGUCCAUGGAAUAUAGGACACUUGGAAAAACAGGUUUGAUGGUUAGCAAACUAUCUCUAGGUGGUGGAACAUUGGGAUGCCAUUAUGCAGCGUUCGAUGAAGACGAAGCCAUAGAGACAAUUCGAAAAGCAAUCAAGAAAGGUAUAAAUUACAUCGACACUGCCUACUGGUACGGUCAAGGAAAAUCUGAACUGAUAAUCGGAAAGGCACUCAAAGGAAUUCCUCGUCAAGCUUAUUACAUAGGGACCAAAGUCGGAAGGUACGAGCUGGAUUUUGCGAACAUGUUCGACUUCUCGAUGGAAAGAGUCCGUCAGAGCGUCAAGCAGAGCUUGGAACGUCUGCAGCUCGAUUACGUCGAUGUCAUUCAAAUCCAUGACAUUGAAUUCGCGCCAUCCCUGGACAUUAUCAUAACUCAAACCUUGCCAGAGUUAUCGCGUCAAGUAGCGGAGGGUCGAGCUAGACAUAUCGGUAUCACUGGCUAUCCCAUAUCUGUUCUCAAGGAAUGCAUUGAGAAGAGCAACAUCAAUAUUGCCGUUGUCCUAACUUACGCCAGAUUCACCCUCAUAGACGAUACACUCCUCGAAUACAUUCCAUUUUUCAAGGAACGCAAUAUAGGAAUCAUAAAUGCUGCAGCACCUAGCAUGGGCUUAUUAACUAGUCAAGGACCACAAAAGUGGCAUCCAGCAUCGGAUGAUGUAAAGAAAGUUUGCAAACAAGCUGGAGAUUAUUGCAAGGAAAAAGAUUUGGAAUUCACUAAAUUGGCAGUUUGGCACUCGUUCCAAUGUCCAGAUGUUGCCACUCAUCUGAUUGGGAUGCAAAAUUUAAGAGAGCUGGAUAUAAAUAUGGAUGUGCUUCACAACGGGAUAACGGAAGAGGAAAAGGAGAUUCUAAAGGAUAUGAAAGAUAAUUUAACAGUAUUUAGAUUGAAAAGUAAACAGUUAAAUGAAAAACAGAAAUGCUAAAUUGAUCCCAAAAGAUUACUCCCGAGGUGCUUGCAAAUAAAAACUGUCGGAAUCGAAGGCUCUUAUUGAUUUAGUUGACGUACUGUGACAUGAACAAUUAUUUUGAUAAAGAUAUGUAAACAGCAUUGUGAUAAUGAAUCUUGUGGUACCUGUCAAAGUUAACUACGAAACAUUGGGAAGGAGCUGACCUUGAAAAAUACUGGAAGGAAAUGAAGCGCUAAAUCAAAGACUUACUCACUUCAUUUAUCUAAUAAAGUUACUAUUUUAUAUAUAACAAUUCUAGGAAUUGCGAUUUUUAAAGAUAUUCAAUAAAGUUUUAUAUAAAUAA